AAACUUCCCAGCUGUCUUCCACCCACCCAGGGUUCCCUCGCCAACAGGAUCCCUCCACCCAGGGCCCUGAGGGAGGCUCUUGGGAAGUCUUUGAAAGCUGGAAGGAGCUUUUCCUGAAAGAAGAGGUUUGGCUAGUCUGGUCUCUUGUCUUUUAAACUGCCCUGCAAGGACAGAAAAAGUCCUUGGACUUCUCAUUGCAAAAUCUCAAUCCACCGCCUCCUAGGUUGGCAGGAGUUGCUGCUGGGGAGAGGGAGUGAGGCAUGCUGGGAAGAAUGUGGAAGGUGAAGUCCAACAGGCCUGAGUUCAAAUCCCAGCUUUACCUUUUUCCAGCUGUGUGACCUUGGGCCUCAGUUUCCCCAUCUGCAAAGUGAGGAUAAUGCUUGCACCUACCUCACAGAGUCACUGGGAAGGUUUAAUCAGAUUAUGCAUAAGGAGGCAUUCAUUCUAUCUUUAAAAAAUAUUUACGAAACACUUAAUAUGUGCAGGAACAGUUCUAGGUGCUAGGACUACAACCGUGAGAAAAACGCCUUGCAAAGCUCACAUUCUAGAGGAGGAGACAGAUAAUACCAGCACCUGCGAUGCAGUAAAUGCUCAGUGAUUCUUAGCCACAGGCAGAAACAGGUUGCUUGGGGGACCCCUCUUCUGGUUAGUGGGGAGGUCUCAGAGAAAGGAGGUGAUCAGCUAGCUGGAGACCCCAGAAAGCAUCUCCGACAAGAGGAAGCAUCUAAGGUCAAAGAACAGCUGGGUGGCUGAUUGGUGACAUUGACAGCAUUCUACUUUCUGAAGCUAUAGGAAGAUAAAUCAACUCUAUGGGAGCUGGCUCUGGCCUCCUCCAGGGGGUUGGAGGUAGUCACAGUAGAGGGGCUCCUCUAAAUUCUCAGAAAGCCAUUCUGGGUAACUCAGCACCCAUGGCUGUGGCCUCCUGGGAGAGGCAGAGAUAGAGUCAAGACGUCUGCUCCCCGGCCUGCCCUUUCACUCCCAUCUCCUCCACCCUUCACAGGCGCCGCUCUCAGUCUGGGCCCCUCUGCAACACCUGGAGAUGGGCCAGCUGUGGAGCAAGCAUCUGCUCCUUAAUCCGCCCCCAGGGUUUGGCCUGCUGGAGGUGCGGCAGCACCCAAGGGUCCUGAGACCCUCACCUUGAGCCCACGUGUUCCCUGCCGCUGGGGUUCAGCAAAUGGCAGCGCUUUCAUCAAGGUAGAAAAGAAAAACAACAAAAAAGUCAGAGCACCUCACCUGUGCCACCUGGUGGCGGGAUCUGUCCGCACUGCAGCCCAGCAGCUUGCCUCCCGCCACCCACCGCCCCAGGAGGCUAACCCUGCCUGGUGGCUCUGGGACUGGGUGUGAGGAAGGCUCCUGAGGCCUGUCUGGCCUCCAGGAUCUGGGUGAAGCCAGAGAAGCAGGCUCCGAAUCACCCCAGCCUUUGCAAAGCCUUAGGAGUCAAGUUGCUGCAUAUGGGAAGCCUGGGGCUCCGGUAACAGCUCAGCAAGGCUGCGACAGCCCCGGGCCAGGACUCAGGGCGAAACAACCCUGUUGCUGGCUCCCUGGCUUGGGACAAUUUCUAGUUUCCCGAGUCUCAGCUUGGUCUCCGAUGGGGAAAGUGUCCCUUCCUCUCAAAGGUCCAUUAGCCCAGGGUGCCUUGAUUCAGUGAGGAGGGGUCUGGACUAGAUUAGGGACACAGAAUAAGGAAAAUUCCCAUAUCCCCAUUACCAAGAACUCCUACUGCAGGAGAGUACAGCGUGGUGUGACAAUCAGGGACUCGGGACCAAGAGGCCUGUAACCGACUGCUAUCCGGCCUCUACCUGUGUGGCUUGGGCAAAUUGCUUCACCUCCCAGGGCGUCUUUAUUUAUGAAAGAGAAUAAAUGUAUCCUGAUUAUAGUGUUGUUGCAAGGAGUAAGCAGGAGGAUGUAGCCAAAGCACUUAACACAGUGUUUGGCAAGAACUGUUCAAUAAAUAAAUAAUUACUAUUGUUAUUACUAUUAUUUCUUGAGCAUUUACGUUCUAGGCACCAUAGCAAAUGUAUAGCAAUAGUAAUAAACAACAUUUGAUGAAAGCUUUCUUUAUGCCAGGCCCUAUGCUGAGAGCUUUAUAUUUAUUAUUUUCAUCAUUUUGAUCCCCACUAUUCUAUAAGGUAGGCUAUAAUUACCUCCAAUUUUGAUGAGGAAACUGAGGCCCAGAGAGGUUAAGUGACUUGCCCAAGGUCACACAGCCAAUAAGGUUCAAAGGUGAGAUUAGAACACAAGUCUGUCCACUCCAAAUGGCUGUGGGAGUUAAAAUAGAUAUUCAAAGGUGGCCACAUGGUGGGGGGCAUUGAGAUCUAAGGGACAAAAAUGAUGAGUUCUUCAGUUUAAGAUGAGUUACUCAGGUCGCAAUGAACGUGAAGAUGGAAGUGGCCAUUGUGUCCCUUUAGAAGCCUGGGAGUAUGGAUCAGGAGGCUGCCUGGGAGGUGAUAUUGCAGCUGCUACAACCUCAGAGAACUGGGAAAACUUGGGGUGCAGGCCAGAGGGAGCGCAGACUGAGGAGCUGAGCUAGUCUCAGGCUGGCAGCCACUUGGGGCCUCCGCAGGCAGGAGAGCAAAAGUGGGAGACCAAGAAGUGGGGCAUGAAGCUGAAGAAAGAGGAAGGCUCUGUGAGGGUCCCAAAGGGCCUUGUCAGUGAUGCCACAGAGUUUAGCCUUUAUCCUGAAAGCCACGGGAAGUCUUGCAAGGAGAUUAAGCAGCAAGAGGAUCAGGUUGGCAUUUAGAAAAAUCACUCUCUGGCUGGGAGCAGUGGCUCACAACUGUGAUCCCGGCAAUUUGAGAGGCCAAGGCAGGAGGAUCGCUUGAGCCCAGGAGUUUGAGACCAUCCUGGGUAACAUAGUGAGACCCGCUCUCCACAAAAAAAAAACAAAAAUUAGCCAAGUGGGGUGGCAGCAUAUGUCUGUAGUCUCAGCUACUUGAGAGGCUGAGGUGGGAGGAUCACCUGAGCCCAGGAGGUGGACAUUGCAGUGAGCCAAGAUUGUGCCAGUGUACUCCAACCUGGACAAUAGAGCAAGACCCUGUCUCAAAAAAAAAAAAAGUAGAAAAAUCACUCUGGAACCUAUCACGUAACCAAAAGCCACCUGUACCCCAAAAACUAUUGAAAAAAUAAUAAUUUAAAAAAAGAAAAAUCACCCUGUUUGCAGCGUGGAAAAUGGAUUCAGCUGCCUCCAUCUAGUUCUCCAGCCUGUCUUUUAAAUAUUUUUCACCACAAUUAAUAUACAUUCACUGUAACAAAUAUAAAUGGGACAGGAAUAUGUAACAUAAAAAACUCUCACCCUCCAAUUCUAAUCUUCAAAAGUAAUCACUAUACUAUAAAGCAGUUUUGACACACACAGUUUCAGAUUUUCAGCUACACAUAUAGACGACAUGGAUACAAAUAUAAAAUUGUCACCUAGCAACUGUUGGGAGAGCCUAUCAUUUCGGGUGACACCCAGGGUGAUGUUUCCCAAAUUGCACACCAACCCACUCUGGUGACAACGGGGCCCAGACCAGUUGUUCUUAACCAGGCAAUCCAGGGGCAUUUGGCAAUACCUGGACACAUUUUCGUUGUCACAAUGCAGGUGCUUGGCAGGAGCUACUGGCAUCUAGUGGAUCAAGGGUGCUCUGUGAACAUCUUAUGUAUUAUAGGAUCCCCACAACCAAGUGUCUUCUGGCCCAGAUGGCAAUAGUGCCAAGGCUGAUAAACCCUUGGGAUCUUUGAGGGAAUUCCAUACUGGUGAGAUUUGCUAGUUGCAAGGAACAGAAAUGCAAUUUAUUUUUAUGGUAUCAGGCAGCUCCUGAAAUUAUCUAGAGGCUGCAGAGCCAGGUUCAUGCAGCCAGGGACAAUGCCCUUCAUCCUGAUGUGGAACUGGUCAGGUGAUGGCAUGGUGCACCGCUGCACCUGCUGAGCACAGAUGCUGCACUUUGCCCCAGACUGUUCUCUGGACUCUGCUUCUGGAACCCAUUGUAGCCAUUGCAGCUGCCACCUCCCCACAGCUUCAUCGGUGCUGCCCGGAGCUGCAGCUUUGCACUGGCAGCUUUCACUAUGUGUUUGGGAUGGGUGCUUCUGAUUGGCUGAGUCUAGGUCAUGUGUUCAUGUCCUAGCUGCAAGGGAGUCUAGUAAAAUAAGUUUGCCUCAUGUUGAGCUCCUAUAGGGAAUGGCUCUUUGCCUUAUAACGCAGAGAACUCCUCAGACAUGGGAUGGAGGUUUGGAGGAACCUGACAAAGGGCCAGUCUAUCCAGAGACAGGAUGUUCAGUAACAGUACCUCAAGCCACACUGAAUUUUACUGUGAACCAUGUAUUGUUUCUCUCCUGUUCAGGUCACUUUCUACCUCCUAGGUAAUCUGUCUCUGACUCUUGCUCAUCUCUCCUGGUAGCAGAGACAGGCAGGUGUCAGGCUUGGGUCUAGGGUCAGCCACAUAUCUAGUUAAAU
rnacentral:lncRNA from 1 species